AGUCUUUAGAAGUAGCUGCUAAGGUACUUCAUUGUUCCUUUGGUAGAAAAAGAGAAAAUCUAAUUUUUUUGGCUAUUUGAGUUACAUAGUUUACUAUUAGCUAUGAAUGCUUCAAGGCAUCCUAGUUAAAAAUUCACUUGAAUUUAAAAUUUAGAAUAAGCAGUUUGUUUCCUCUGAUGUUUAUGUUGCAAUGAGGAAACAUUGAUAUUUAAUUGGUUGCAUUCACAAGCAGUUCAAAUGACUGACUGUUGGACAUAUGCUGUUGACAUUGACAACAUAAUUAUAUGUACAUAUAGAUUCACGCAGAUGUAUUUAUCUAUACCUGUAUAUAGAUGUAUUGAUCUGUAAAAUUUUUCCACUGGAUGUGUAGUAUAAUUAUUUUAUUGAGGUUCUUAGAAGUAGUAGAAAUGUUGUUAGUUGUUAGUUGGGUUUUACUUAUCAGCCAACUCAUAGUUGAGAGCAGGGGUACCAAUGCAACACACUUAGUGGCUACUGACGUACUGCUUUUUCAAAAUCUCAAUUGUAUCAGCCUAUAGUGACCGAUACGCUCUGAUACUGCCAUUAUUGAUGUUUUAAGCAGCAAAGAGGAAGGAGAGGGAUUGCAUGUACCUAGACAGAAGAUAUAACCUUUGUUUCUCUUUUUCCCCAAUUGAAAUCCAUAGAGAGAGCUGCUGCUAGAUAAGUGCCAAUAACCAUGACUGCUGAAUGGAAACAUUAAACUAAAAGCCCCUACAAAAUGCUGAACAUCAACAUUAUUUUUUUCCUUUUUAUAUAUGAAAAAACUAUAAUGUCUAUAGGCUUUUGAUUCUUGCAAAACCCAUUGCCUACUGCCUAGUAGGCUUUCAUUCAAGCUUGUAGUUGGGUUA
rnacentral:misc_RNA from 1 species